rnacentral:rRNA from 1 species
ACGCUCGACACCUACGGGGCAGCAGUGGGGAAUAUUGCACAAUGGGGGAAACCCUGAUGCAGCGACGCCGCGUGAGCGAAGAAGUAUUUCGGUAUGUAAAGCUCUAUCAGCAGGGAAGAUAAUGACGGUACCUGACUAAGAAGCUCCGGCUAAAUACGUGCCAGCAGCCGCGGUAAUCUGAGCGGGCUGGCAAGGC